UGGGGAAUAUUGCACAAUGGGGGAAACCCUGAUGCAGCCAUGCCGCGUGUGUGAAGAAGGCCUUCGGGUUGUAAAGCACUUUCAGCGAGGAGGAAAGGGUGGCAGCUAAUACCUGUCAUCUGUGACGUUACUCGCAGAAGAAGCACCGGCUAACUCCGUGCCAGCAGCCGCGGUAAUACGGAGGGUGCAAGCGUUAAUCGGAAUAACUGGGCGUAAAGCGCACGCAGGCGGUUAGAUAAGUCAGAUGUGAAAGCCCCGGGCUCAACCUGGGAACUGCAUUUGAAACUGUCUGACUAGAGUCUUGUAGAGGGGGGUAGAAUUCCAGGUGUAGCGGUGAAAUGCGUAGAGAUCUGGAGGAAUACCGGUGGCGAAGGCGGCCCCCUGGACAGAGACUGACGCUCAGGUGCGAAAGCGUGGGGAGCAAACAGG
rnacentral:rRNA from 1 species